rnacentral:rRNA from 1 species
CAGCAGCCGCGGGAAUACAGAGGGUGCGAGCGUUAAUCGGAUUUACUGGGCGUAAAGCGUGCGUAGGCGGCUUCUUAAGUCGGAUGUGAAAUCCCUGAGCUUAACUUAGGAAUUGCAUUCGAUACUGGGAAGCUAGAGUAUGGGAGAGGAUGGUAGAAUUCCAGGUGUAGCGGUGAAAUGCGUAGAGAUCUGGAGGAAUACCGAUGGCGAAGGCAGCCAUCUGGCCUAAUACUGACGCUGAGGUACGAAAGCAUGGGGAGCAAACAGGAUUAGAGACCCAGUAGUCCCUGUCUCUUAUACA